AACAAGGUCUCCGUUGGUGAACCAGCGGAGGGAUCAUUACCGAGUCUUUACAACUCAUAACCCUUUGUGAACCAUUAUACCUAGUUGCUUCGGCGGCGCGCCUCCGGGCGUGCCCGCCGGCCAAUUAUAGUCUCUUAGUUGUGAAUCGACGUUACAUCUGAGUGUUCUAAGCGAACUGUUAAAACUUUCAACAACGGAUCUCUUGGCUCCAGCAUCGAUGAAGAACGCAGCGAAACGCGAUAUGUAUUGUGAAUUGCAGAAUUCAGUGAAUCAUCGAAUCUUUGAACGCACAUUGCGCCUUCCAGUAUCCUGGGAGGCAUGCCUGUCCGAGCGUCGUUUCAACCCUCGAGCCCCCGUGGCCCGGUGUUGGGGACGCUGCCCAGCUACCUGGGCAGCCCCCCUAAAUGCAGUGGCGGUCCCGCAAGUCCCAGCCCUUUGCGUAGUAAUAUCAUUCUCGCUCUGGACGGCUCGCGGGCUUACCAGCCUCGAAACCCCCUACAAAGACCGCCCCGGCGGCAACGGUUGACCUCGGAUCAGGUAGGAAUACCCGCUGAACUUAAGCAUAUCAAUAAGCGGAGGAAAAGAAACCAACAGGGAUUGCCUCAGUAACGGCGAGUGAAGCGGCAACAGCUCAAAUUUGAAAUCUGGCUCUUUCAGGGUCCGAAUUGUAAUUUGCAGAGGAUGCUUUGGGUGCGGGCGCCUUCCGAGUUCCCUGGAACGGGACGCCAUAGAGGGUGAGAGCCCCGUCUGGUAGGAUGCCCAGCCCGUGUAAAGCUCCCUCGACGAGUCGAGUAGUUUGGGAAUGCUGCUCUAAGGGGAGGUAUACUCCUUCCAAAGCUAAAUACCGGCUGGAGACCGAUAGCGCACAAGUAGAGUGAUCGAAAGAUGAAAAGCACUUUGAAAAGAGAGUCAAAUAGCACGUGAAAUUGUUGAAAGGGAAGCGCUCGCUACCAGACUUGGGUACGCGGUUCCGUAGGUGCUCCGCACCUGCGUACUCCUCGUGCCCAGGCCAGCAUCAGUUCUUCGUCGGGUUAAAAGGCUUCGGGAAUGUGGCUCGCCUCGGUGAGUGUUAUAGCCCGUUGUGUCAUGCCCGGUGGGGGACUGAGGUACGCGCUCCGCAAGGAUGCUGGCGUAAUGGUA
rnacentral:rRNA from 1 species